AUUGAACGCUGGCGGCAGGCUUAACACAUGCAAGUCGAGCGGGGUGAUGGUGCUUGCACUAUCACUUAGCGGCGGACGGGUGAGUAAUGCUUAGGAAUCUGCCUAUUAGGGGGGGACAACAUCUCGAAAGGGAUGCUAAUACCGCAUACGUCCUACGGGAGAAAGCAGGGGAUCACUUGUGACCUUGCGCUAAUAGAUGAGCCUAAGUCGGAUUAGCUAGUUGGUGGGGUAAAGGCCUACCAAGGCGACGAUCUGUAGCGGGUCUGAGAGGAUGAUCCGCCACACUGGGACUGAGACACGGCCCAGACUCCUACGGGAGGCAGCAGUGGGGAAUAUUGGGCAAUGGGGGGAACCCUGAUCCAGCCAUGCCGCGUGUGUGAAGAAGGCCUUAUGGUUGUAAAGCACUUUAAGCGAGGAGGAGGCUCUUUUGGUUAAUACCCAAGAUGAGUGGACGUUACUCGCAGAAUAAGCACCGGCUAACUCUGUGCCAGCAGCCGCCGUAA
rnacentral:rRNA from 1 species